rnacentral:rRNA from 1 species
GAUGAACGCUGACAGAAUGCUUAACACAUGCAAGUCAACUGUGGCGGACGGGUGAGUAACGCGUAAAGAACUUGCCUCACAGUUAGGGACAACAUUUGGAAACGAAUGCUAAUACCUGAUACUGUGAGAGAGCUUUGCGUCCCAUUAGCUAGUGGGAGAGGUAACGGCUCACCAAGGCGAGGAUGGGUAGCCGGCCUGAGAGGGGGAUCGGCCACAAGGGGACUGGGACACGGCCCUUACUCCUACGGGCGGCAGCAGUGGGGAAGAUUGGACAAUGGACCAAAGUCUGAUCCAGCAAUUCGGUGUGCACGAUGAAGUUUUCGGAAUGUAAAGUGCUUUUAGUUGGGAAGCGGUACCAACAGAAGAAGUGACGGCUAAAUACGUGCCAGCCGCCGCGGUAAUUC